GAAAUCUUUUUAUUGUGAUUUUAUUACUGUUGCACACAUUUCAGUUUUUUUUCCGUUUUAUUUAAAGCAUGUUUUUCUAUCUCGUAUCAACUCUAAGAAAUUCACAUUUACACAAUGCAUUUUACAUUAGUAGGUAACUACAUAGGACAUUCAGCGUUUUUUUGGGAAGGGAGGACCAAGUCCUGAUGUGUUUGUAUCAAGUAUUAAAAUCUCAGAGAUUCACAGUGAGCCUCCCCACAGACAUCACUAUGCUGCAGAUUACAUAUCUUGAUGCCUCUAUAAUGGAGGUACUUGAUAAAACUACUGUACAUGCAUUGAAUCUGUACAGUAGCGCUCAUUUCUGUUGACAAACAGCCUUGUGAAAGUACCUGGCAACAUGUUUAAGCUUUCAAAAUGCUACAUGACCCUAAUACAUCAUAUUAACAUACAGUAUGUGUUCAUUGGCAACCUGUUUGUAAUGUAAGUCUCUAUAAUGGUGCCAAGAUUUUACAGUUUUCGUGAGUCUCCAAGGCUCCAUGUUUGUGACUUCAGUUCAUGAAAAUCCUUCAUUAGUUCUAAAAUAUAUAAAAGAAAGCACAUAAAAAACACAAAUGAAAAAAGAUGCAAAAUAAAAACAUAAGUAACAGUUAAAACAUCUGAACUCAAAAAACGUUAGACACUGUACACAGGCACUUGAACUGUGGUACACUCUUUGAGUGCAAUCAUAUCUAAUAAGUGCUCACUUAAAAAAAAAUGCUUAUUUCAAGAUACUACUAAUAAACUGGAAAUGUAAGGAGAAAAUCAAUUCAGACCUGCAGAAAUGGGGCAAACAUGAAAUCUAGGGAUGCACGAUAUUGGAUUUUUGUUCGUUAUGCCGAUAUGCUAAAACUCAUUUCGCCUAUAACCGUCAUCAAUACCGAUAUUUUUUUUCCUAUACCUACUUACUGAAACUAUAUGGCUUUCUCUACUGUGGAAUUAAAAUACUGUAUUGUCUUUGUCAAUUUAGCCUGCUACCAAAUGCAAAUGCUAGAAAGAGACUGAAAAUGAUGUAACACUUUCAACUUGCAGUAUGGUUACCUUCAAAUGUAUUCAUUUGCUCUAUAAAAACAACACUUUUUAUAUCGGUGAGUUAUAUUUGAUGGAAUGUCCGAUAUUAAAUUUUACAGCUAAUAUCGACCGAUACGAUGCUAUGCUGAUAAUAUCGUGCAUCCCUAAUGAAAACUAUUCCUUUGAACAUGUCUUGCAUAUUUUUCUGUUUCUACCCAGGCUGUACAUUCUCACAAAGUGUCUGAAUCUGUUGGAGAAAGGGGAAUACGUCAGCUUUAGGCAGGAUGAGUGCACUGUUGGAGGGCUGAUGGAACCUCAGCGGGGGGAUGGAGAUGAAGAAAAUUUGUUGUUUUUUUCCCUUUAAAUCAACUUUCUGGUCACUCAUACGAAGUGUAGCGAAGUCUGCUUUAAUGUCAGUCCCUCAUGCAGGAUGAAUCACUCCAGCUCUCAAUAGAGGAGUGAAUCAUACACUCCUGUGUGUGUGUGUGUGUCUGUGUGGUUACGUGUUCACACCAACAUCUGCUACAGAGCUGCAAACUACAGCAGACUUUUGUUUGCUUUCAUUUAUUACACUGCACUGAUUCAUGAAUCAAAAGUGAGGCAACCAGAAAGUUUAAUUGUCUUGGGGUGUUUGUGGCCGAGUGAUUGAUCCAUGCAGAGCCACAAAGGACGUAAUGAGUCAUUUUCACUGUUUUCUUCCCUCGGCGAGACAUUUCCUAUCUAUCACUAAACUCUAAAAGCGCCGCUAACAAGCUAAAAAAACAUCUUUCGUUUCCUUAAAGGUUUUGUCUGCAUUCACACUCUUGCUGAGAAUAAAAUGACGAAACUGAUACCUCUCAGAUAUUGUUGGAAAGUGACUCUCUAAGCAAAAUGUGUUGUAAGUUGGAGAGUUUCACACUGAUUUAUUUUAUUCUAACAUUUGCAAUUUGGUUAUUUCUAGACAAAUCUAUGCCAAUCCUACAACUGUCAUCUGAUCAGACUAUUCAUUCAUGUCUCUUAUAUUCUAAUGCAAUAAAACAUUUUUUCCUACCUAAAAAUACCACGUCUACAGACAGGCACACAUCCUUUUGAUACAUAUAGGUUAUCUGAAACCUGCUCUCCUCACCAACAUAGUAAACAAAGGAGACGUUACUGUAACUUGUUAAACUUAGCAAGCUAGAUAUUUUUUGUUUCUAAUAAAGAAAAAUUGGGAAUAAUGUCAGUACUGAGUGAUUUUUACUAUUUUUGCCUCUUUGUUAAAUAAAUAUGCAUUAAAGCUACAGGGUUUAGGCAGGGCAAUGCCAUACUUUUGUGAGCUUUAUGUGCUCAAACUUCAGUGAAAAUGUAUGUCUUCUGUUACAUUUUUCUCACACUUGGGUAUUUUCAGAUUUAGUGUUCCAGAUUGUCAAAAAGAGAAAAGAUCUUCUUACUUCUUUUGUCUGGCAGAUUUUAUUUGAGGGAUUAUUUUGGAAAUGAAACAGCAAAAACAGAAGAAAUCUUAAAAGGGCAAAUAGUUUUUCACAAAACUUUGACUAAGAUUAGGCGGACAAUUUGUUGUCUGUGAUGAGGUUAUGUAUAUUCAAGAAACUGGGAAUAACCUUUGUGGUAAUUCAAGCAAAAGGCUAGAUGGAGUGAAGCAAUUCCCAAAAUGGUAACUAAAUUAGUUUUCUUUUUUAAAACUUCAUUUUUUGUUCUACUUUUCCAUCAGCUGGUUCUUUUGAGUUAGCUUAAUUGCCAUGUUUCGUUUUGCAGUCCACUAGCAUUAUGGCUAAUUGAUUGUGAACCACCAAGAUUUUAUUGCAAAUGGCCAAUAAGGCUACAUUUACAGAAGACCAUUGCCUGGAAACUGCCAGUAUUUUCCAAUGUUAAUUGGGGAAAUUUUCCUCUUGUGCACCUUGAGUCAGCUGUAGUUGUCAUGCCACUAGAUGGCGCUGUGGUUUUAGCUCAUCGUCAAAUGCGCAUGCACUUUUGGCCCUGAUGCUGCGUUCAGACCGAACACGCUUUGCUUGUCACAAACACCUCUGGCUUCAGCAGCUUUGAAGUCAAACGCCUGAUGCUUAUGCUGCGUUCACACCAAAAGCGGCUGAUUUGAGCAUCAGCCGCAUCUGGAUACAUUCAGAGUCUAUAUGGACGCACAUCAAAAUCGUGCUAGACCUGAGUUGGGACGAGCCGUUGUUUUCCGUUGCUGGUCUGUUUGUACAAUGGCGAAUGAAACUGAGAGAGUGACACCAAAUUAUGAUGCAGUGAAAGCUUCUGCAGUCAUAGCGGAGGCUCAGAUGACGAACAUUUUAUGUUCAGUUUCUAUUGAACAAAAAACAGUGACGGUUGAUAACGGCACAAUGCGCGUUGGAGCUUCUUGAAUUUUUUCCCUUUCUUUCUUUGAACAAUGGCAGAUGAAAACACUGUCUAGGUUUUAUUUAUUGAAAUCAACAGAAUGUGAGUUGUGAGUUUUCAUAAGCUAGCUGGGCGCUGACGACGGUCGCUAUCAGCAGUGUUUUCAUCUCACUUGAGCCCAGUUUGACCACCAGCUAAUCAGUGCCUGGAUCUCCUGACAGGACACCAACUACAGGCCUUUAUGUCACAUAGCCAAGUUUCUAAUUGGUUGAUGCGCCGCGUUGAGCAGUGAAAGUUCAGAUUUUCCAACUCCAGCAUCGCGUUGAAUGCGCGUCAAACGCUCAGAACGCUUUAAGUCACGCAGCGCUAGACUCGUGAAACGUCCACAUAGGCUUUGAACGGCCUAUGUGGACCGUUCCAACCUUCCAACCCAUGUCCACAGUUGGACGAUUUCCCUCCUAUAACUUUUGAGUUGGAAUGUUGGGACCUUGAGUUGGAUGAAUCACAGGAAAUGUCUCCAGUUCAUGCUCAGGAAACAGAAAAAACUUCCCUAGAAAGGGAGAGUGGAGAACUAACUCCCUCAACAGGAAGAGAAGGUGUCGAAAAAGAGGAUGAUGAAAGACCGUCCGGUCUGGUGCCUGGCGUUUUGAGCGUCAGGCACCAGACGUGUCUGAUGCUCAAAACGUGUUUGGCGUGAACACAGCAUUAGCUUCCACCUCAUUGUAAAUAAUAACCCGUCUCCCCUUAACGAAGUGCUCAUGUAACACAUUAUUUAAACUACUGGUGCUGGUUGAACGGACAAGAAUCUGGUUCACUACCCAGAUAUAAGUCAACAAUUUGCACUGAUAACAUCAACAGGAUGUAAACAACCAAAUCAAAGUAUUUAUUUCGCUACUGUUUAUUUUAAAUUGUCUAAAUACUCAUUUAAUCUCAGUCAUACUACAAGUUAAAUCCUGAGAAUCUAUGUGCCACUGUAAGCAAUGAAUGCAGUCAAGCUCGGCUACAGUAUGUGUCCUUUACAUGGUAUUUAAGCUCACUUCUACAGUCGCUUCAAGCAGCAGGAAGGGGCACAUUAAAGGGGCAUUCCAUAAAAAAAGAUGCCACCAGGCCUGAGAUGCAAGCCUGUGCUUAAGUGCUUGAUUUCAACUGGGAAAUGCAGUGAAUGUCGGGUGGUUCUGCAUUGGAAAAUGAAAAUAUGACGUCACACUGAGGCUUCAGCAGGAACUGUGUUGCAAGCAGAGGGUAAAUGAAGCUAAAACCCUGAGGUAAUUACUACCCGCCUCCCAGGUAAGCCUUGUGUAAGUAAGGCUGUGUGUUUUACGGUAGGAGUGAGCUUGUGGAGGUGGAAGUGCCGGCUUCCUCUGAGGGCUGUCCCAAUUUCACCGAAGAAUGAUUGUGGAUGGGAUUCCUCCUGCAGAUCUGACUUUUUUUCUGCUCCCAAACUCAUUUAAGUAGUUUAAUUAGCAGUCGUGAUCCUUUUUUGUUUGCUUGUUUGUUUUUUGGCUCCGUAAAUGGAAUCCCCCCACCCCCGUUUCCCUUCAGACGACUCAUCGCGGUGAGUCAGCAGCAGCGCCGAGUCCAGAGACGUUCCUCUCACGUUGCACAUCCAGUGAAGGCAGCCUGCUGAUUCGGUCGUGUAACUAAAGCCUCGAAAUGAAAGAACCGCACAAACACAAACAUGAGACAAACAUUAUGAACAUGAAGCUGCUGAAAUACAAUCCCUGGAGGCACUGCUAGAGAGGGAGUUUAUGUCUGUUGCACACAGGAAGAGCCAGCUAAUUAUUCAAAAAAAC